rnacentral:lncRNA from 1 species
GGAAAUCAAAAGUUUCACUAUACAAUCUCCCCUGGUAAAUACUUGGAGGAAUUGCAACACAUUUUAGCGUACUUAGAAAUGUUCUUUUUCCUGUCCAUAUUUUUCAAAGCUAUAUUUGCAUGGUGGGCGCCUUUGGAAAUUUUAAAAUACAUUCCGUGAGUGAAGAGAAAUGCAGACAUGUUCUCAGAGCUGAUCAUUUUCCUUACAGAUCUCAUGCUCGCUCUGGCCAUAGUUGUUACCCUCUAUGUGCUUUACUUAAUCGCAGCCACAGGUAUUUUUGUCUCUGUCAUUUUCUAUCUUUUGAAAGGGGAGAUGGAAAAAAAGUAUGACUUCGACAAGGGCAGAAUGUGGGUGCCGGAUUCUGGCAAUGCCACUGAGAAGCCACUUCCAAGCAACAUAGAGAAAGUCGGCCCCAGGAUGCUUCCUGCCUAUUUUCCAGCUGAGAGAGAGAAGGGACCUUCCUGCCCCAAGAGAAGCAGUCUCUCUUCUAAAGAGCAAAGAGCUCUGUGGCAGAAGAGCCCAGCAAAAAUUUGGCCAGAACACAGUCCACAGCCAACCAAGAGGUAUUUUUUAAGGUGAGUUUGUAAAAUGUUCAGUUUAA